UCAGGCCUAACACAUGCAAGUCGAACGGCAGCACGGACUUCGGUCUGGUGGCGAGUGGCGAACGGGUGAGUAAUACAUCGGAACGUGCCCAGUCGUGGGGGAUAACGUAGCGAAAGCUACGCUAAUACCGCAUACGAUCUAAGGAUGAAAGCGGGGGAUCGCAAGACCUCGCGCGAUUGGAGCGGCCGAUGGCAGAUUAGGUAGUUGGUGGGGUAAAGGCUCACCAAGCCGACGAUCUGUAGCUGGUCUGAGAGGACGACCAGCCACACUGGGACUGAGACACGGCCCAGACUCCUACGGGAGGCAGCAGUGGGGAAUUUUGGACAAUGGGCGCAAGCCUGAUCCAGCAAGUCCGCGUGCAGGAUGAAGGCCCUCGGGUU
rnacentral:rRNA from 1 species